UGGUGUCAUGCUUGUGACUCCAAAUGCUAUCAUGAAUAAUUGAAUCUCACUUAGAGCUGCAUCUUCCCUCUUUCAUCCUGUUUUCAGCAGUGACUCUGAACACAACUUGUGACUGUCCAGUGCUGUCAGACCUCAAAGCUGCUUUUUAAUGUCCUGCUUCAAAAAAUUUACAAAAAUAAAGAAGUUUGGAUAGAUAAGAGGCAAGAAAGUUCAGCACACACACAGAAGGAUGUUCUUUGAAGCUCUUCAGCUACCAAGGACAAAUUUUGCUGUUAAACCUUUUACAGCUAAAGACUGGAAAGCUUCUAAAUGGUGCAAACUUCUGGAGCCAUCUCAGAGCACUUACAAAGAGUUUUUUGCAUCACAUAAGUCAAAACCAGGGCACAGUGAAAUUGAUCUCAGGAAGUCUGCAGACUCUUGAAAGUUUCAGACAUAAUUUUCUACUAAUACUUUACCUGUGGUCUUCACAGACAUUUUUUAUUCAUGCUUCAGCACAGUUGCUCUGUUACAACCCACCUCAGCACCAAUAUGAACUUACCUUUUGGGUGGAAAUGUUCUUUAUGUAAAUUAUGGAAAGGAGAAUGGAGAAGGUUCGUAUCCUUUUAUUGCUUAAUGCUUCAUAAUACAGAACAAAGAUUUUUGUAUUCAGUUUUGCAGGUGCCAAUAUAAUGAAAAGGAUAAGAAGGCAAAUAUAUGAAUCUUUAACACUAUGAUAGUUUGCAAAAGGAGAAAGGAUAUCAAUGUUUGCUUUAAUGACUUCUGCUAGCUAACAAGAUUUUUAUUAUCCUUAAUAUUUAGGUAUUUAUUUAUUUAUUUCAUAGUUAUUAUUAAAGCUUUUUGUCCACCACACCCUUAUCCUUUUUUUUCCUCCCAGGCUGGCAUUUUGUCCAAGCACGAUGUCCUUUUUAUUUGCACAGCCUCUUUAGCACUUGGCAUUCAAAUAAUUCUUUAGGGAAGUAACUAAAUAUGUAAGU